rnacentral:rRNA from 1 species
GUCUUUUUGGUACUUAAUAUAAAGUCUAACCUGCCCACUGAAUAUAUUUUAAAGGGCCGCAGUAUUUUGACUGUGCAAAGGUAGCAUAAUCAUUAGUCUUUUAAUUGAAGGCUGGUAUGAAUGGUUGAAUAAGAUACAAGCUGUGUCAUAAAAAUUAAUAAUUGAAUUUAACUUUUUAGUCAAAAGGCUAAAAUUUAUUUAAAAGACGAGAAGACCCUAUAGAGCUUUAUAUAUUAAUUAUUUAGAUUAUUAAGAUUUUUAAAAUUUAAUUUUUAAGAUAUAUUUUGUUGGGGUGACAAUAAAAUUUAUAAAACUUUUAUUUAUAUUUGACAUUAAUUUAUGGCUAUAUGAUCCAGUUUUAUUGAUUAUAAAUUUAAGUUACCUUAGGGAUAACAGCGUAAUUUUUUUUGAGAGUUCUUAUCGACAAAAAAGAUUGCGACCUCGAUGUUGGAUUAAGAGUAAUUUUGGGUGCAGAAGUUCAAAAUUUAAGUCUGUUCGACUUUUAAAUUCUUACAU